rnacentral:misc_RNA from 1 species
CUUAGUACCNCAUAUUUUUUUUCUUCAUACGUGGCAUAUUUAUUUAGACACGAUAAGUCUUACAGCGUUGCUGAUGUGGUCUUGUAGCACUUUGUAGGGUAUAAGCUUGCUAUGUGUUAACAAUCGCCACUUUGAUUUGUCUUGGAUUAAAAAUUCUGUGCGUAGUAAAUGAAGAGAAAACCUCUAUUAUGCAUGAGAGAGAUGAUCUUCAGAAGUCACGUCUCUAAACCAAUAUAUUUUAACUAUAAUAAAUAGGCAAAAUUGUAGCUUAUGCAGCCAUACAUACUUUUCUUCACUAUUGGAUGCAAAUAUUCAUCUAAUUGGUAAAGUGCUAUUCUAACUGACUUUCAUUAAUUAUCCUGUUAUGAAAUAAUUGUAUAUUAUUUUGAUCACCAACACUAAUUCCUGUCAGUAAAUUUAUCCAUUUUUUAAACUAUAUCUGGAAAAUAUUGCUUCAUGCAAUACAUAAUGCUUAUUUUCAUCCGAUUUUAAACGCAACAAAACUGCAUGGUUGAUCUCCGUAACGUGGCCAUCAUUACUGCCUCAUAUAUAUUAGUCUGCCUUAUACUAGUCUGACUUUUAAUUAAUGAAAGGCUCAAAAAUUAUAAAAAUUGUUAAGUUGCUUUAAACAUAGUGUUAGAAACAAAAACCUUUAUGUUGUCUGAUAUAGUUAUUGUAGAAACUUUGUUUCAGUUUCACAAUAUUUCCACAGUGCUUUACUUUGUGUAGCAUAAUUGACGAUAANUUUUGUGGGCGGCAUUAAUUCAAAUUUCAAAAUUAUUUUAUUGCAUUGGUUAUGUCGUACGUAGCUAUAAUGCGUGGUUCGCAGAAGCAAAAAGUUUCCUCUACUUAUAUUUCUAUAUUUUAAUAUCCAAGAUUUCAUUAGAGAGAUAUGUCUUUUCAUUUAAUCCCUGAUUAUGGGCGAAUGGGACCGAAAGCAUGGAACAGUUUAAAAAAUAUGAAAUAAAUGCAGAAAACGUUUCGAUUCUGUUAA